rnacentral:lncRNA from 1 species
CACCAGGCCUGAGAUGUUGGAAGAUGGAGAAGCCUUUGCCACAGGAAAAAUCCUCCAUGAACACAAUGAAACUUGGCCUGCACCUGGGACAUCCUUCUCCACGGCUAGUCUACAAUGCAGGUGCUCUGCACACGCUCCCUGGCUGACCCCAACGCAGAGAAGAUGCACGUGAGCCCACCCCCACAGCAGGCGUGGACAUUUGCCUCCCUUUUAUAAUAGCUGUAUUCAAAUGAGGUAUCCUGGAAGCCUCGUUCUGAUAGGAUGAGAGCAGACUCUGUACUACAACACGGAUUGGAUAAUAGUCUCCAACUCUGAUUGGUUAAGAUUGUGCAAUCAGAGAUGGAAAUUAUUAUCCAAUAAGAGUUGUCAAAAAGGUUCCUUGCGCAGUGGUCGUCAUAGUUCAGAAGCGACCGGGAGCGUGUGUGGUGCGCGCCUGCCUUGAGGCCAGGCCUCAGAGAAGGGUGUCCCAGAUGUAGGCAAAGCGUCCUCCAUGUGUUCCUGGAGGACCGUCCCAAGUCCUUCUCCAUUCUCCCAACCUCUUGGGCCUGGUAAGUCUGGAUGCGAGCGCAUCCCACGGGGCCGAGGCACAGGGAGAGAGGAACGGGGCAGAGGGAGGAAAGCGUGUGCAGGGGCCCGGAGCGCCAGGCUGCCAGGGCUUCACCCCAUGGCCACCGGGGAGCUGUGGCCCCACUCGGCCCAAGGCAGAGUCCGGCCCUCCUGCUGCUGGCACUGUCACCUCCCUGGGGUCCUGCCUUCUGGGUCCCUGUGGGCCUCCUGUCAUCUGGCACUGGAAAUAAGCUAGCGAAGCAAAAUUUCGUGAAUAUUGGCCUUUGCAUCUUUUUCUUCAUUUUCAGUGCUGGUUUUUCUGUUGGGUCAUUUAUGUUCUUACAUUGAUUUGAAUAAUUUUAAAAUGUAUUUUAUAAAUUAAUUCUUCAUGGGCUCAUUUCUAGUGUAGAUAGUUGUUUCCUAGUCUGGUCAUUGUUCUUUAAUUGUAUUUUGCAUUUCUUUCUUGCUGAUACAUAGGAAUCUGAUUGAUUUUAUGUAUUCAUCUUGCAUCCUGUAGCCUGGCUUAAUUCACAUAUUCAUAACCAUCAUUUUUGGAUUGUGGUGUAUUUUUCAUGUACAUAAUAGUGUCAGCCACAUACAAUAACAGCUGUAUUGCUUAAAUGUUGGUUCUUAUACCUUUAUUUUUGUUUUAUUGUCCCAAUUACACCUCCAGCACUGUGUGAAAUAGAGGGGGUAUGUCCAGGAAGUCUUGCUUGGUUCUGAUUACAGUGGAAAAGCUUCAGUGGUCCUGUGUUGUAAUUUCAUUUUAGACAAGCUUAAUCAGAUUAAGGAAGCUGCCUUCCUUUGCAUUUGCUAAGAGUUAUGACUAAUUGUUGAAUUUGAAUAAAUGCUUUUUUUAC